AGCGAACGCUGGCGGCAGGCCUAACACAUGCAAGUCGAACGAAGUCUUCGGACUUAGUGGCGGACGGGUGAGUAACACGUGGGAACGUGCCUUUAGGUUCGGAAUAACUCAGGGAAACUUGUGCUAAUACCGAAUGUGCCCUUCGGGGGAAAGAUUUAUCGCCUUUAGAGCGGCCCGCGUCUGAUUAGCUAGUUGGUGAGGUAAAGGCUAACCAAGGCGACGAUCAGUAGCUGGUCUGAGAGGAUGACCAGCCACAUUGGGACUGAGACACGGCCCAAACUCCUACGGGAGGCAGCAGUGGGGAAUCUUGCGCAAUGGGCGAAAGCCUGACGCAGCCAUGCCGCGUGAAUGGUGAAGGUCUUAGGAUUGUAAAAUUCUUUCACCGGGGACGAUAAUGACGGUACCCGGAGAAGAAGCCCCGGCUAACUUCGUGCCAGCAGCCGCAGUAACAC
rnacentral:rRNA from 1 species